rnacentral:rRNA from 1 species
AUUGAACGCUGGCGGCAUGCUUUACACAUGCCAGUCGAACGGUAACAGGCCUUCGGGUGCUGACGAGUGGCGAACGGGUGAGUAAUGCAUCGGAACGUACCCAGAGGUGGGGGAUAACGCAGCGAAAGCUGUGCUAAUACCGCAUGUGAUCUGAGGAUGAAAGCGGGGGACCGAGCAGCAAUGUUUGGCCUCGCGCCUUUGGAGCGGCCGAUGUCGGAUUAGCUAGUUGGUGGGGUAAAGGCCUACCAAGGCGACGAUCCGUAGCUGGUCUGAGAGGACGACCAGCCACACUGGGACUGAGACACGGCCCAGACUCCUACGGGAGGCAGCAGUGGGGAAUUUUGGACAAUGGGCGCAAGCCUGAUCCAGUAAUGCCGCGUGCGGGAAGAAGGCCUUCGGGUUGUAAACCGCUUUUGGCAGGAACGAAACGGUGUCCGCUAAUACCGGGCGCUAAUGACGGUACCUGCAGAAUAAGCACCGGCUAACUACGUG